UACGUAGGGUGCGAGCGUUGUCCGGAAUUAUUGGGCGUAAAGAGCUCGUAGGCGGUGUGUCACGUCGGCCGUGAAAACCUGCAGCUUAACUGUGGGCGUGCGGUCGAUACGGGCAGACUUGAGGUAUGCAGGGGAGAAUGGAAUUCCUGGUGUAGCGGUGAAAUGCGCAGAUAUCAGGAGGAACACCGGUGGCGAAGGCGGUUCUCUGGGCAUUACCUGACGCUGAGGAGCGAAAGUGUGGGGAGCGAACAGG
rnacentral:rRNA from 1 species